rnacentral:tRNA from 1 species
GGCGAAUUCGUCUAAUGGCUAGGACACCACCCUCUCACGGUGGAUAUUCGGGUUCGAAUCCCGGAUUCGCUA